rnacentral:rRNA from 1 species
AGGACGAACGCUGGCGGCGUGCUUAACACAUGCAAGUCGAACGGUAAGGCCCCUUCGGGGGUACGCGAGUGGCGAACGGGUGAGUAACACGUGGGUAAUCUGCCCUGCACUUCGGGAUAAGCCUGGGAAACUGGGUCUAAUACCGGAUAUGAGCUCCUGCCGCAUGGUGGGGGUUGGAAAGUUUUUCGGUGCAGGAUGAGUCCGCGGCCUAUCAGCUUGUUGGUGGGGUAAUGGCCCACCAAGGCUACGAUCAGUAGC